rnacentral:rRNA from 1 species
UUGAACGCUGGCGGCAUGCCUUACACAUGCAAGUCGAACGGCAGCACGGGUGCUUGCACCUGGUGGCGAGUGGCGAACGGGUGAGUAAUACAUCGGAGCAUGUCCUGUAGUGGGGGAUAGCCCGGCGAAAGCCGGAUUAAUACCGCAUGCGAUCUACGGAUGAAAGCGGGGGACCUUCGGGCCUCGCGCUAUAGGGUUGGCCGAUGGCUGAUUAGCUAGUUGGUGGGGUAAAGGCCUACCAAGGCGACGAUCAGUAGCUGGUCUGAGAGGACGACCAGCCACACUGGGACUGAGACACGGCCCAGACUCCUACGGGAGGCAGCAGUGGGGAAUUUUGGACAAUGGGCGAAAGCCUGAUCCAGCAAUGCCGCGUGUGUGAAGAAGGCCUUCGGGUUGUAAAGCACUUUUGUCCGGAAAGAAAUCCUUGGCCCUAAUACGGUCGGGGGAUGACGGUACCGGAAGAAUAAGCACCGGCUAACUACGUG